GAUGAAGAACGCAGCGAAAUGCGAUAAGUAAUGUGAAUUGCAGAAUUCAGUGAAUCAUCGAAUCUUUGAACGCACAUUGCGCCCCCUGGUAUUCCGGGGGGCAUGCCUGUUCGAGCGUCAUUUCACCACUCAAGCCUCGCUUGGUAUUGGGCAACGCGGUCCGCCGCGUGCCUCAAAUCGACCGGCUGGGUCUUCUGUCCCCUAAGCGUUGUGGAAACUAUUCGCUAAAGGGUGUUCGGGAGGCUACGCCGUAAAACAACCCCAUUUCUAAGGUUGACCUCGGAUCAGGUAGGGAUACCCGCUGAACUUAAGCAUAUCAAUACGCGGAGGA
rnacentral:misc_RNA from 1 species